rnacentral:rRNA from 1 species
CCCUUAGAGUUUGAUCCUGGCUCAGAUUGAACGCUGGCGGCAUGCCUUACACAUGCAAGUCGAACGGUAACAGGGAGCUUGCUCCGCUGACGAGUGGCGAACGGGUGAGUAAUACAUCGGAACGUGCCCAGUAAUGGGGGAUAGCUCGGCGAAAGCCGGAUUAAUACCGCAUACGCCCUGAGGGGGAAAGUGGGGGACCGCAAGGCCUCACGUUAUUGGAGCGGCCGAUGGCUGAUUAGCUAGUUGGUAGGGUAAAGGCCUACCAAGGCGACGAUCAGUAGCUGGUCUGAGAGGACGAUCAGCCACACUGGGACUGAGACACGGCCCAGACUCCUACGGGAGGCAGCAGUGGGGAAUUUUGGACAAUGGGGGAAGCCCUGAUCCAGCAAUGCCGCGUGUGCGAAGAAGGCUUUCGGGUUGUAAAGCACUUUUGUCAGGGAAGAAAUCCUUUGGGCUAAUACCCUAGGGGGAUGACGGUACCUGAAGAAUAAGCACCGGCUAACUACGUGCCAGCAGCCGCGGUAAUACGUAGGGUGCAAGCGUUAAUCGGAAUUACUGGGCGUAAAGCGUGCGCAGGCGGUUGUGUAAGACAGGUGUGAAAUCCCCGGGCUUAACCUGGGAAUUGCAUUUGUGACUGCACGACUAGAGUGUGUCAGAGGGGGGUGGAAUUCCACGUGUAGCAGUGAAAUGCGUAGAUAUGUGGAGGA